GAUGAACGCUGGCGGCGUGCCUAAUACAUGCAAGUCGAGCGAACAGAUGAGGAGCUUGCUCCUCUGACGUUAGCGGCGGACGGGUGAGUAACACGUGGAUAACCUACCUAUAAGACUGGGAUAACUUCGGGAAACCGGAGCUAAUACCGGAUAAUAUAUUGAACCGCAUGGUUCAAUAGUGAAAGACGGUUUUGCUGUCACUUAUAGAUGGAUCCGCGCCGCAUUAGCUAGUUGGUAAGGUAACGGCUUACCAAGGCGACGAUGCGUAGCCGACCUGAGAGGGUGAUCGGCCACACUGGAACUGAGACACGGUCCAGAGUCCUACGGGAGGCAGCAGUAGGGAAUCUUCCGCAAUGGGCGAAAGCCUGACGGAGCAACGCCGCGUGAGUGAUGGAGGUCUUCGGAUCGUAAAACUCUGUUAUUAGGGAAGAACAAAUGUGUAAGUAACUAUGCACGUCUUGACGGUACCUAAUCAGAAAGCCACGGCUAACUACGUG
rnacentral:rRNA from 1 species